rnacentral:rRNA from 1 species
CACGUAGGGGGCAAGCGUUGUCCGGAUUUAUUGGGCGUUAAAGAGCUACGUAGGCGGUUCGGUAAGUUGGGUGUGAAACCUCCAGGCCUCAACCGUGGAGACGCCACCCGAUACUGCUGUGACUAGAGUCCGGUAGGGGAGCGUGGGAAUUCCUGGAUGUAGCGGUGAAAUGCGCAGAUAUCAGGAGGAACACCAGCGGCGAAGGCGGCGCUCUGGGCCGGAACUGACGCUGAGGAGCGAAAGCGUGGGUAGCAAACAGG